ACUUGGACACGAACAAUUUUCUGCAGUGACUAUCUGAGGAAGACUGCCUGGGUACGGCAGGUGGGGAAGCAUUUCUUACUUCAAGAAGUUUUCAACCCAGAUAAGGUAGAAGAAACUACCCCCAGAUGCAAAGUGCAAUCAGGGCUUAACUACAAUUCAGAAGUAAAGGCUGCAACCCGCAGACUUCCGCUGAGGGCUCCUUUCACAUCUGAGCAUCAGUGGCUGCUGUGCCCACACAGAUCCCACAUCAGAAGGAGGAGGGCGCCUCCGAGGCAAGACAUGGACCCUCCACAGAUGACGGAACCAGCCCCCACAGAUCAUCAUCCUGCUCAUUCUCUAGCUGGUAUGACCACUCUUCAAAUGGAGCCAGCCCCAAAGCACAAGCCCUGCUGGGAAUGGCAGCCUCCAGAAGGGGGAUAGGAAAGAGCAGAGACACUCUCCACCCCUCAAUGUGCAGGAGAGAAAAACAAAACCACUUGCAACUGAUGUCAUAGUGGACCAUAUGUAAAACCAUCAGUGUGAAGGGUGGAAUAAUGUUCUUCUAUUUAGUCUCAAGGAAAGAAAGAAGAUAAUCCUUACUGUAUGCUUGUGGUUUGUGACCCAUGACCUCCUGUAGCUGAGCAUGGGGAUGCCAGGCCUUAGUGGGAGGUCCAUGGCAUUGCCAGCUGUGGCAAUAUCUCUAAUCCAAGGCUUCCAGAGAGGACUGCCUCAGCCCAGAUUCCAGGCUACAGAUUCAAGCUCUUUAUCAUCCACUUCCAUUUUCCUCCUUUUGGACAGAGACCCCUGGACCUCUCUUUUUUUUUUUUGCUUUGCAAGUUCUACACUCCCCCUUUUCACCCAGGUCCCUGUCUGUGCAGGCAGUCUCUGUAGACUUCAUGGGUCCACUGGUCCUUUGCAUGACUUUGACUCAGGGGUGCUCCACUGGCAGCUGCAGGCCCCCAGUCUCCUUCAUCUGGGCUGUGUCCAUCCAGCAGUGAGGACAAUGAGGAUCUGCCUCAUUGUUUUUCACCCCAGGCUGUGCAUUAGAGUUUCCCAGGAACUUUCAAAGCUCCUAUCUCUGAGCCCCAGCCUGGCUCUUUUAGAUGAGACUAUCUGGAGGCACAACUGGGAAAGGUAUUUUUUUAUUUUUUAAUGCUCUGCAGGUGAUUCUCAUGUACAGCCAGUGCUGAGAGCAAAUGCUUUACUCUAAAUCCAGUAGGACAUAUGGUUGGAUCUUCUUAUUCAUCUAUUCUCUGGCUUUAGAUGAUAAAAUAAAGAAAUAAAUUUAGCAGUGUGAAUCCCUGCCAGAAGAGACAGAAAAGUGGGAGGGGAAAAAGAGUUAUGUUCCUACAGGCUUCACCCGCCCUUGACCAAACUGAUUGAACACGGUGAUUGCUGCCCCUGUAGGCUUUUCUUUUUAUCCUGGAAAUAGCCAACAUUUGCAGGAUACCCUCCAGCAUCAUGCAUUAACUUUUACCUGAAAAUCCUUUGAAAAUUUAUCUUCUUAAAGGAAGGAAAAAAAAAAAGCAGCACACUUGCCUUGCCUCUGACCCCCCUGAUCCCGGUGGCGGGGGAAGCAGGUACUUGUCAAUUCAAGCAGGAGGCAGGAGCUGCAGACUGAAUGGGGAGUUCAGCUCCUUCCACCCCACAUGUGCCUGACCUUUCACUCCUUUCACUCGCAAGAAAUUUGGGUUUAGUAGGUCAGCCUAAUGGAGUGGCAGGCCCCAGGCCCUGGAAGACAUUCUUGCCCUGACUUUAGUAAAGGUGUUUGCAUAGCGUCUCAAGUAUAGCUAAUUAGGGUUGCAACAAGGCCUUAUUUUAAAUAAUAUAAGAUGCACAGUGAGAAACCAAUUCCAUUUAGAUAAUGGAAAGAAUCAAAUUGAUUGAAACUCAGAUCAAAGCUCAUUAAACAUGCAUCAACUCUUAGGCAACCAUAGAUAACACCAGAGAAAUGUCGCUUUUUUGCUGUUUCUUUUUGUCCCUCACUCUUUCCCCUCCCCCUUUUCUCUUUGCUGAGACAAUUGUCCCCCUGGAAAGAAGAUCAUAUUGCACUUCAGACGGAGAAAUUAGAUUCUGGUUAGGUUUCAGAAGUUCCUCCAAAUCUCUUGCAUGAACCCAAUUUAUUUGGCCACAUUUUGCCAGGAUGAGCUUACCUAAAAAAUCUCAGCAAACUUCAUCUUGAAUUCUGUAAUCUACUCAUGGUGUGGAGAAUACACUUCAGAUAAAGCCCAGUGGUUUCAUCCUCUAGCUAUGCUGGUCACAGGUCACAGCAAUUAUGGGCAAAUGGCAGUUUCCAAGUUUGCCACUGUUGAUUAAAUUGCACGCGGUCUAAAAUAACAGCAAGGCACUGACUCUGUCCCUUGGUUGAGGACCCACAUGAGGAGGACAUGGGUUGUCACGGGAAAGGCAUUCUGCCUGAUGGUCCCUGACAUUGGGUAUGUUCAUUAGUGGAAAUGUUGGAAGAAGCUGCAGUUCCAUUGGACUGGGGCCAGUGUAUCCACUUCCCAUGAGUGUCAUAAAUCAAAACUUUCCUGGAAACGUCCAGACUUUUAGAAUUUAAGAAUGGGCCAUAUAUUAAUUUGCUGGGGCUUCUAUUAUAAUUUGCCACAGAAUGAAAGGCUUAAACUAUAGAUACCGGUCAUAUCACAGUUCUUGAAGUUCAAGGUUAUUGGUUGGCAGUGUUGUUUCUUCCAAGGGCUGUGAGGGAAAGACUCCCUUCUUGGCUUGUAGAUGACCAUCUUUUUCUUGUGUCUCUUCACAACAUUUUCCUCUAAAUGUAUAAUCUUGGUGUUCAAAUAUCCCUUUUUUAUAAAGGUCAUUAUUCACAUUGGGUCAGGGUUCACCCUCAUAACCUCAUUUUAACUUGAUUACCUUCAAAGGCCCUGUCUGCAAACACAGUCACAUUCAGGCCCUGAGGGUUAUGACUCAAUAUAUCUUUUUGAAGGAACCUGAUUCAACCCAUAGCAGACCACAACCAUGAUGGAAUCUAAUAAUAAAAAUGAUUUUGUAUUGAGGA